rnacentral:rRNA from 1 species
AGGUAUCGUUAACUGAAUACAUAGGUUAACGAGGCGAACGCGGAGAACUGAAACAUCUAAGUACCCGCAGGAAAAGAAAUCAAACGAGAUUCCCCCAGUAGCGGCGAGCGAACGGGGAUUAGCCCUUAAGUUACAGUGGAUUUAGCAGAACGCUCUGGAAAGUGCGGCGAUAGAGGGUGAUAGCCCCGUAUGCGAAAGGUCCAUUGUAGUGAAAUCGAGUAGGUCGGGACACGUGAAAUCUUGACUGAAUAU